rnacentral:rRNA from 1 species
AUACAGAGGGUGCAAGCGUUAAUCGGAAUUACUGGGCGUAAAGCGCGCGUAGGUGGUUCGUUAAGUUGGAUGUGAAAUCCCCGGGCUCAACCUGGGAACUGCAUCCAAAACUGGCGAGCUAGAGUAGGGCAGAGGGUGGUGGAAUUUCCUGUGUAGCGGUGAAAUGCGUAGAUAUAGGAAGGAACACCAGUGGCGAAGGCGACCACCUGGGCUCAUACUGACACUGAGGUGCGAAAGCGUGGGGAGCAAACAGGAUUAGAAACCCUAGUAGUCC